UGAAUUUGCGGUUGCAUCGUCGUGUCUAGUUGCUGGUCUUAGAGUCUAGUCUUUUAGAGUUUCGAGUUCUGGUCAUAAGUUGUCACGCCGCCGCCGCACCAUCAUCAUAGCCCCUGCCAUCUACCACCACCGCUCCGAAUCCGUAUCCAUAUACCACCACCAAUCCGUGUCCAUAUACCACCACCAAUCCAUAUCCAUAUACUACCACCACCGCUGCCAUAUACCACCACCAUAUAUCCACCACCAAUCCGAGUUCCUUGCAUAUUAGGUUUGUUUUCGAGAUCCAUCUAGAUUCCGAUUCGUGUUUCCUUGCCGGAGUAGGUUUCGGAAAAAAAAAAAAAGAGUCGGGUAGCCACGCUCCAUUUAGGCCCAAAAUUUUUCGAAAACGCGUUUUUCGAAAAAAUUUCUGGCUAUCCUAUUUUUAGGUGUUUCUGAGUGUUUUGAGACAGGUGCCAUUAUAGGAAGUUUUUUUUGACCUGUUUCCAGUUUUUGGGUCCGGGCAGUCAAAAAAAAAAUUGAUCGAAAAAAUUUCAUGCCCAUCCUGUCAGUUUGAGCUAAGAAGAGUUUUGAGACACUCGCCAUUAUAGUGAUUUUUCGCAAAAAAAAAAGCAGCGCAAAAAAAGGAGCGCAAAAAAAAACAGCGCAAAAAAAAAAGAAGAGCGAAAAAAAAUUCAGAGUGUGCUUUUCCCUUGUUUACGUGCCGCGUCGUGAUUUUGUUGGUGUUCUAGGCUCGCGUCUCUAGCACAGUCUAGCCUAGGACCAGCACAGUACCGUCGUUGAGCGUUUAUUCAACUUUGCAUCUCUGAAUUGAUUAUUGCUGACCCUUUUUGCUACCAUACUAUAAGCCUUCCCAGCUCCACAUACAUCUACGUCGUGUGUUUGACUCUCCCUGGUAAUCGCUCUAUCCAAGCUUUGAGAGUUUUUGACUACAACGGUUGCCGAUCACCGCCUGCUGCUGGGUAAGAACUGGUAAGAAUUUGAGAUUUGCUUGACGGAUUUGUGAUACACCACCACCACUUCUUAGUAGUCUGUAGGAUCAUAUUCUUGUGUGUUUCUAUUGCUGCUAACCAUGCCAGGAUCACAAGCCGACGAGAUUGACUGGGAGAACUUAUCGAACAAGGAGCUUCAUGAUAAGUUUCAGCAAAUGAUGACUGAACAGGUACAAGAUGUGCUGAACAAUUUUGAAGAGGCCAUGGAGAAGAUCACUGGCCUUGAGAAGACGUUCGAAACAAAGCUCGAUAACAGAUUUAAUGAACUGCUUGCGCGUCUUCCACCACCGGCUGUGAUGAGGACAUCAAUACAAUUGUUACACCCACAGCCCCUGCUGCUAUACAUACUGGACCAAUUACUAGAGCUCGUGCACGCCAACUAAAUUACCAGGUACUUUCGUUUCUUGGUAAUGAUUCUAAUGUUCAUGAGAAUAUGAUGCUGCCUAAAUUGGAUACAUUUGUUUUGCUUACAAAUGAAGGGCCUAGCUUGGAGAAGGAUGAACAUUGGAGCAAGAACAAGCAUGGAGAUGAUGGCAUGCGCAAGGGAAACAAGAACGGAGUUACAAGUGAUGAUUUCAGGACUUUGAAGCCACCAUAAUGGGUGCAUGAAGCCUUGGACGAAAUAUACAAGACGCCACUUCAUAAAUUUCGUCCCGAGGCUAUUUUAGGUGCUGCGUCACCUUAUUAUUGGGCCAGGCCCAUGUAAUUUCGAAAUACAUAAGUAUAGGCUAUUUUUAGAGUCCGUAUGUGUGGGGAAACAAGAGAUAGGGUUGAUUUCGGACCCCUCCACCAAGGGCCACGAAAUUCUCCCCCUCUUCCUCCAUAUAUACAGCCCUUAGGGCAUCGUUUAGACUUUGGGUUUUGUUUAGAUUAAAAGUUCGCCAUAGCUGCAACUUCGCGUACUUCGUUUGUGUUCAACGACCAGACAAAGGCGUCACAGAACGCCACCUUGAUCAAUAAAGCUUUCAUCUUAUAUUCGCAAUAUCCAGAUUGCAAUCUUAGUUUCUUGCUUGUUCUUCGUUUGCUCGCAGGAAACAGACCCUCGUGGUCAGGUUGAUCGUGCUCCGGCGUGGUCAAUAACCUCUCGGAGUUGGUUUAGCGAUUGCUAAGGCGCGACGUCCUCGCACGUUCGUAGUCGGAUCGUCAAAGUCGACUUCCACCAAAGCGAAAUCCACCAUCUCAUCGUAAGACGGGACACCUUUGCCUCUAUCAAGUGGUAUCAGAUUUCCAGGUUGCUCGGUGAGAUUUUACAGUUUUUCGUAGUUUAGAUCGAGUCUGUUCUUCAUACCUAUAGUCCACGAAAAAGCCAAAAAAAAAAUUAGGGUUAGUUCAUCCCAUCCGAACCAAUCUGAGCCUUGCAUAAUCUUUUCUGUAUUUGCUUUGUUGAAUUUGCGGUUGCAUCGUCGUGUUCAGUUGCUGGUCUUAGCGUCUAGUCUUUUAGAGUUUCGAGUUCUGUUCACAAGUUGUCACGCCGUCGCCGCACCAUCAUCAUCGCCCCUGCCAUCUACCACCACCGCUCCGAAUCCGUAUCCAUAUACCACCACCAAUCCGUGUCCAUAUACCACCACCGAUCCAUAUCCAUAUACUACCACUGCUGCCAUAUACCACCACCAUAUAUCCACCACCAAUCCGAGUUCCUUGCUUAUUAGGUUUGUUUUCGGGAUCAAUCUAGAUUCCGAUUCGUGUUUCCUUGCCGGAGUAGGUUUCGGAAAAAAAAAGAGUCGGGUAGCCACGCUCCGUUUAGGCCCAAAAUUUUUCGAAAACGCAUUUUUCGAAAAAAAUUCUGGCUAUCCUAUUUUUAGGUGUUUCUGAGUGUUUUGAGACAGGUGCCAUUAUAGGAAGUUUUUUUUGACCCGUUUCCAGUUUUUGGGUCCGGGCAGUCGAAAAAAAAAAUUGGUCGAAAAAAUUUCGUGCCCAUCCUGUCAGUUUGAGCUAGGAAGAGUUUUGAGACACUCGCCAUUAUAGUGAUUUUUCGCAAAAAAAAAGCAGCGCAAAAAAAAAGAGCGCAAAAAAAAAGAGCGAAAAAAAAAUUCAGAGUGUGCUUUUCCCUUGUUUACGUGCCGCGCCGUGAUUUUGUUAGUGUUCUAGGCUCGCGUCUCUAGCACAGUCUAGCCUAGGACCAGCACAGUACCGUCGUUGAGCGUUUAUUCAACUUUGCAUCUCUGAAUUGAUUAUUGCUGACCCUUUUUGCUACCAUAUUAUAAGCCUUCCCAGCUCCACAUACAUCUACGUCGUGCGUUUGACUCUCCCUGGUAAUCGCUCUAUCCAAGCUUUGAGAGUUUUUGACUACAACGGUUGCCGAUCACCGCCUGCUGCUGGGUAAGAACUGGUAAGAAUUUGAGAUUUGCUUGACGGAUUUGUGACACCCACCACCACCUGAUGAGGACAUCAAUACAAUUGUUACACCCACAGCCCCUGCUGCUAUACAUACUGGACCAGUUACUAGAGCUCGUGCACGCCAACUAAAUUACCAGGUACUUUCGUUUCUUGGUAAUGAUUCUAAUGUUCAUGAGAAUAUGAUGCUGCCUAAAUUGGAUACAUUUGUUUUGCUUACAAAUGAAGGGCCUAGCUUGGAGAAGGAUGAACAUUGGAGCAAGAACAAGCAUGGAGAUGAUGGCAUGCGCAAGGGGAACAAGAACGGAGUUACAAGUGAUGAUUUCAGGACUUUGAAGCCACCAUAAUGGGUGCAUGAAGCCUUGGACGAAAUAUACAAGAUGCCACUUCAUAAAUUUCGUCCCGAGGCUAUUUUAGGUGCUGCGUCACCUUAUUAUUGGGCCAGGCCCAUGUAAUUUCGAAAUACAUAAGUAUAGGCUAUUUUUAGAGUCCGUAUGUGUGGUGAAACAAGAGAUAGGGUUGAUUUCGGACCCCUCCACCAAGGGCCACGAAAUUCCCCCCUCUUCCUCCAUAUAUACAGCCCUUAGGGCAUCGUUUAGACUUUGGGUUUUGUUUAGAUUAAAAGUUCGCCAUAGCUGCAACUUCGCGUACUUCGUUUGUGUUCAACGACCAGACAAAGGCGUCACAGAACCCCACCUUGAUCAAUAAAGCUUUCAUCUUAUAUUCGCAAUAUCCAGAUUGCAAUCUCAGUUUCUUGCUUGUUCUUCGUUUGCUCGCAGGAAACAGACCCUCGUGGUCAGGUUGAUCGUGCUCCGGCGUGGUCAAUAACCUCUCGGAGUUGGUUUAGCGAUUGCUAAGGCGCGACGUCCUCGCACGUUCGUAGUCGGAUCGUCAAAGUCGACUUCCACCAAAGCGAAAUCCACCAUCUCAUCGAAAGACGGGACACCUUUGCCUCUAUCAACUUGUCACCCCCAAACUGAUGGACAAACUGAAGUAGUCAAUAGGACGUUGUCUACUAUGCUUAGGGCUGUUUUGAAGAAUAAUAAGAAAAUGUGGGAGGAAUGCUUGCCUCAUAUUGAAUUUGCUUAUAAUCGUUCAUUGCAUUCUACUACUAAGAUGUGCCCUUUUGAAGUUGUGUAUGGUUUCCUACCUCGUGCACCUAUUGAUUUGUUGCCUCUUCCAUCUUCGGAGAAGGUUAAUUUUGAUGCUAAACAACGUGCUGAAUUGAUUUUAAAAAUGCAUGAGUUAACUAAGGAAAACAUUGAGCGUAUGAAUGCUAAAUAUAAACUUGCUGGAGAUAAGGGUAGAAAACAUGUUGUGUUUGCACCUGGAGAUCUUGUUUGGUUACAUUUGCGUAAGGAUAGAUUUCCUGAUUUGCGCAAAUCAAAGCUAAUGCCACGUGCUGAUGGUCCCAUUAAGGUGUUAGAGAAAAUAAAUGAUAAUGCAUAUAAACUUGAGCUGCCUGCAGAUUUUGGGGUUAGUCCCACUUUUAACAUUGCAGAUUUGAAGCCUUAUUUGGGUGAGGAAGAUGAACUUCCGUCGAGGACGACUUCAUUUCAAGAAGGGGAGGAUGAUGAGGACAUCAAUACAAUUGUUACACCCACAGCCCCUGCUGCUAUACAUACUGGACCAAUUACUAGAGCUCGUGCACGCCAACUAACUUACCAGGUACUUUCGUUUCUUGGUAAUGAUUCUAAUGUUCAUGAGAAUAUGAUGCUGCCUAAAUUGGAUACAUUUGUUUUGCUUACAAAUGAAGGGCCUAGCUUGGAGAAGGAUGAACAUUGGAGCAAGAACAAGCAUGGAGAUGAUGGCAUGCGCAAGGGGAACAAGAACGGAGUUACAAGUGAUGAUUUCAGGACUUUGAAGCCACCAUAAUGGGUGCAUGAAGCCUUGGACGAAAUAUACAAGAUGCCACUUCAUAAAUUUCGUCCCGAGGCUAUUUUAGGUGCUGCGUCACCUUAUUAUUGGGCCAGGUCCAUGUAAUUUCGAAAUACAUAAGUAUAGGCUAUUUUUAGAGUCCGUAUGUGUGGGGAAACAAGAGAUAGGGUUGAUUUUGGACCCCUCCACCAAGGGCCACGAAAUUCCCCCCUCUUCCUCCAUAUAUACAGCCCUUAGGGCAUCGUUUAGACUUUGGGUUUUGUUUAGAUUAAAAGUUCGCCAUAGCUGCAACUUCGCGUACUUCGUUUGUGUUCAACGACCAGACAAAGGCGUCACAGAACCCCACCUUGAUCAAUAAAGCUUUCAUCUUAUAUUCGCAAUAUCCAGAUUGCAAUCUCAGUUUCUUGCUUGUUCUUCGUUUGCUCGCAGGAAACAGACCCUCGUGGUCAGGUUGAUCGUGCUCCGGCGUGGUCAAUAACCUCUCGGAGUUGGUUUAGCGAUUGCUAAGGCGCGACGUCCUCGCACGUUCGUAGUCGGAUCGUCAAAGUCGACUUCCACCAAAGCGAUAUCCAUCAUCUCAUCGAAAGACGGGACACCUUUGCCUCUAUCACAUAUGCUGAUUAUGUUGAUUGUGAUGUGGUACCUAUGCAAGCAUGUUCCUUAUUACUUGGUAGACCAUGGCAAUUUGAUAAAAAUUCUGUACACCAUGGUAGAAACAAUCACUAUACUCUUGUUCAUAAGGAUAAAAAUAUUACUUUGCUUCCUAUGACUCCUGAUUCCAUUUUGAAAGAUGAUAUUAAUAGAGCUAAUAAAGCACAACAGGAGAAGAAUAAGAGUGAAAAUCAGAUUGUGGCAAAAGAAUUUGAGCAACAAAUGAAGCCUAAUAAUAAACCAUCUAGUGUUGCUUCUGAAAUUAAAUUGAAAAGUGCAUGUUUACUUGCCACCAAAUCUGAUAUUGAUGAUCUAGAUUUUAGCAAAUCUGUUUGCUAUGCUUUUGUGUGCAAAGAGGCAUUAUUUUCAUUCGAGGACGUGCCUUCCUCUUUGCCUCCUGCUGUCACUAACAUUUUGCAGGAGUUCGCUGACGUUUUUCCACAAGACGUGCCACCGGGAUUACCGCCUAUUCGAGGGAUUGAGCAUCAGAUUGACUUAAUUCCCGGUGCUUCACUGCCAAACCGUGCACCAUACCGUACCAAUCCAGAAGAGACGAAGGAGAUUAUGCAUCAAGUACAAGAGCUUCUCGACAAAGGUUAUAUACGCGAAUCCGUUAGUCCUUGUGCUGUUCCUAUUAUUCUAGUGCCGAAAAAGGAUGGUACAUCACGUAUGUGUGUUGAUUGUAGAGGCAUUAAUAAUAUUACUAUUCGUUAUCGUCAUCCUAUUCCUAGGCUAGAUGAUAUGCUUGAUGAAUUGAGUGGCUCUACAAUAUUCUCCAAAGUUGAUUUGCGUAGUGGCUACCAUCAAAUUCGUAUGAAAUUGGGAGAUGAAUGGAAAACAGCAUUUAAAACUAAGUUUGGAUUAUAUGAGUGGUUAGUCAUGCCUUUUGGGUUAACUAAUGCACCUAGUACUUUCAUGAGAUUAAUGAACGAAGUUUUACGUGCUUUCAUUGGACGAUUUGUGGUAGUUUACUUUGAUGACAUAUUAAUUUAUAGCAGAUCUUUGGAGGAACAUUUGGAACAUUUGCGUGCUGUUUUUAUUGCUCUACGUGAUGCACGUUUGUUUGGUAACCUUGGGAAGUGCACCUUUUGCACCGACCGAGUAUCUUUUCUUGGCUAUGUUGUUACUCCACAGGGAAUUGAAGUUGAUAAAGCCAAGAUUGAAGCUAUUGAGAGUUGGCCGCAGCCCAAAACGGUCACACAAGUGAGGAGUUUUCUUGGCCUCGCUGGAUUCUAUAGGCGUUUUGUGAGAGAUUUCAGCACCAUUGCUGCACCUCUCAAUGAGCUUACAAAGAAAGAUGUGCCUUUUCUUUGGGGUACCGCACAGGAAGAAGCCUUCAUGGUAUUGAAAGAUAAGUUGACACAUGCUCCUUUACUCCAACUUCCUGAUUUUAAUAAGACUUUUGAGCUUGAAUGUGAUGCUAGUGGAAUUGGAUUAGGAGGUGUGUUAUUACAAGAUGGCAAACCUGUUGCUUACUUUUCUGAAAAACUGAGUGGGCCUAGUCUGAAUUAUUCUACUUAUGAUAAAGAAUUAUAUGCUCUUGUUCGGACUUUAGAAACAUGGCAACAUUAUUUAUGGCCCAAAGAAUUUGUUAUACAUUCUGAUCAUGAAUCUUUGAAACAUAUUAAAAGUCAAGCUAAACUGAAUCGUAGAUAUGCUAAAUGGGUGGAAUUCAUUGAGACUUUCCCUUAUGUCAUUAAACACAAGAAGGGAAAAGAAAAUGUUAUUGCUGAUGCAUUGUCUCGUCGCUAUACUAUGCUUUCACAACUUGACUUCAAAAUAUUUGGUUUGGAGACCAUCAAAGAUCAAUAUGUGCAUGAUGCUGAUUUUAAAGAUGUAAUGCAGAAUUGUAAAGAAGGAAGAAUGUGGAACAAGUUUGUCGUUAACGAUGGAUUUGUGUUUCGUGCUAACAAGCUAUGCAUUCCAGCUAGCUCCGUUCGUCUUUUGUUGUUGCAGGAAGCGCAUGGAGGAGGAUUAAUGGGACAUUUUGGCGUGAAGAAGACGGAGGACGUACUUGCUACACAUUUCUUUUGGCCAAAGAUGAGACGGGAUGUUGAGCGUUUUAUUGCUCGAUGCACUACAUGUCAAAAAGCUAAGUCACGACUCAAUCCUUAUGGUUUAUAUAUGCCUUUGCCUGUACCUAGUGUUCCUUGGGAAGAUAUAUCUAUGGACUUUGUUUUAGGUUUACCUCGAACAAAGAAGGGGAGGGAUAGCAUAUUUGUUGUCGUGGAUAGAUUCUCGAAAAUGGCACACUUUAUACCAUGUCAUAAAAGCGAUGAUGCUGUUAAUGUUGCUGAUUUGUUCUUUCGUGAAAUUAUUCGCUUGCAUGGUGUGCCAAAUACUAUUGUUUCAGAUCGUGAUACUAAAUUUCUUAGCCACUUUUGGAGAUGUUUAUGGGCUAAGUUGGGGACUAAACUGCUUUUUAGUACUACUUGUCACCCCCAAACUGAUGGACAAACUGAAGUAGUCAAUAGAACGUUGUCUACUAUGCUUAGGGCUGUUUUGAAGAAUAAUAAGAAAAUAUGGGAGGAAUGCUUGCCUCAUAUUGAACUUGCUUAUAAUCGUUCAUUGCAUUCUACUACUAAGAUGUGCCCUUUUGAAGUUGUGUAUGGUUUCCUACCUCGUGCACCUAUUGAUUUGUUGCCUCUUCCAUCUUCGGAGAAGGUUAAUUUUGAUGCUAAACAACGUGCUGAAUUAAUUUCAAAAAUGCAUGAGUUAACUAAGGAAAACAUUGAGCGUAUGAAUGCUAAAUAUAAACUUGCUGGAGAUAAGGGUAGAAAACAUAUUGUGUUUGCACCUGGAGAUCUUGUUUGGUUACAUUUGCGUAAGGAUAGAUUUCCUGAUUUGCGCAAAUCAAAGCUAAUGCCACGUGCUGAUGGUCCCUUUAAGGUGUUAGAGAAAAUAAAUGAUAAUGCAUAUAAACUUGAGCUGCCUGCAGAUUUUGGGGUUAGUCCCACUUUUAACAUUGCAGAUUUGAAGCCUUAUUUGGGUGAGGAAGAUGAACUUCUGUCGAGGACGACUUCAUUUCAAGAAGGGGAGGAUGAUGAGGACAUCAAUACAAUUGUUACACCCACAGCCCCUGCUGCUAUACAUACUGGACCAAUUACUAGAGCUCGUGCACGCCAACUAAAUUACCAGGUACUUUCGUUUCUUGGUAAUGAUUCUAAUGUUCAUGAGAAUAUGAUGCUGCCUAAAUUGGAUACAUUUGUUUUGCUUACAAAUAAAGGGCCUAGCUUGGAGAAGGAUGAACAUUGGAGCAAGAACAAGCAUGGAGAUGAUGGCAUGCGCAAGGGGAACAAGAACGGAGUUACAAGUGAUGAUUUCAGGACUUUGAAGCCACCAUAAUGGGCGCAUGAAGCCUUGGACGAAAUAUACAAGAUGCCACUUCAUAAAUUUCGUCCCGAGGUUAUUAUAGGUGCUGCGUCACCUUAUUAUUGGGCCAGGCCCAUGUAAUUUCGAAAUACAUAGGUAUAGGCUAUUUUUAGAGUCCGUAUGUGUGGGGAAACAAGAGAUAGGGUUGAUUUCGGACCCCUCCACCAAGGGCCACGAAAUUCCCCCUCUCUUCCUCCACAUAUACAGCCCUUAGGGCACCGUUUAGACUUUGGGUUUUGUUUAGAUUAAAAGUUCGCCAUAGCUGCAACUUCGCGUACUUCGUUUGUGUUCAACGACCAGACAAAGGCGUCACAGAACCCCACCUUGAUCAAUAAAGCUUUCAUCUUAUAUUCGCAAUAUCCAGAUUGCAAUCUUAGUUUCUUGCUUGUUCUUCGUUUGCUCGCAGGAAACAGACCCUCGUGGUCAGGUUGAUCGUGCUCCGGCGUGGUCAAUAACCUCUCGGAGUUGGUUUAGCGAUUGCUAAGGCGCGACGUCCUCGCACGUUCGUAGUCGGAUCGUCAAAGUCGACUUCCACCAAAGCGAAAUCCACCAUCUCAUCGAAAGACGGGACACCUUUUCCCCUAUCAUUAUACCAUGUCAUAAAAGCGAUGAUGCUGUUAAUGUUGCUGAUUUGUUCUUUCGUGAAAUUAUUCGCUUGCAUGGUGUGCCAAAUACUAUUGUUUCAGAUCGUGGUACUAAAUUUCUUAGCCACUUUUGGAGAUGUUUAUGGGCUAAGUUGCGGACUAAACUGCUUUUUAGUACUACUUGUCACCCCCAAACUGAUGGACAAACUGAAGUAGUCAAUAGAACGUUGUCUACUAUGCUUAGGGCUGUUUUGAAGAAUAAUAAGAAAAUGUGGGAGGAAUGCUUGCCUCAUAUUGAAUUUGCUUAUAAUCGUUCAUUGCAUUCUACUACUAAGAUGUGCCCUUUUGAAGUUGUGUAUGGUUUCCUACCUCGUGCACCUAUUGAUUUGUUGCCUCUUCCAUCUUCGGAGAAGGUUAAUUUUGAUGCUAAACAACGUGCUGAAUUGAUUUUAAAAAUGCAUGAGUUAACUAAGGAAAACAUUGAGCGUAUGAAUGCUAAAUAUAAACUUGCUGGAGAUAAGGGUAGAAAACAUGUUGUGUUUGCACCUGGAGAUCUUGUUUGGUUACAUUUGCGUAAGGAUAGAUUUCCUGAUUUGGGCAAAUCAAAGCUAAUGCCACGUGCUGAUGGUCCCUUUAAGGUGUUAGAGAAAAUAAAUGAUAAUGCAUAUAAACUUGAGCUGCCUGCAGAUUUUGGGGUUAGUCCCACUUUUAACAUUGCAGAUUUGAAGCCUUAUUUGGGUGAGGAAGAUGAACUUCCGUCGAGGACGACUUCAUUUCAAGAAGGGGAGGAUGAUGAGGACAUCAAUACAAUUGUUACACCCACAGCCCCUGCUGCUAUACAUACUGGACCAAUUACUAGAGCUCGUGCACGCCAACUAAAUUACCAGGUACUUUCGUUUCUUGGUAAUGAUUCUAAUGUUCAUGAGAAUAUGAUGCUGCCUAAAUUGGAUACAUUUGUUUUGCUUACAAAUGAAGGGCCUAGCUUGGAGAAGGAUGAACAUUGGAGCAAGAACAAGCAUGGAGAUGAUGGCAUGCGCAAGGGGAACAAGAACGGAGUUACAAGUGAUGAUUUCAGGACUUGGAAGCCACCAUAAUGGGUGCAUGAAGCCUUGGACGAAAUAUACAAGAUGCCACUUCAUAAAUUUCGUCCCGAGGCUAUUUUAGGUGCUGCGUCACCUUAUUAUUGGGCCAGGCCCAUGUAAUUUCGAAAUACAUAAGUAUAGGCUAUUUUUAGAGUCCGUAUGUGUGGGGAAACAAGAGAUAGGGUUGAUUUCGGACCCCUCCACCAAGGGCCACGAAAUUCCCCCCCUCUUCCUCCAUAUAUACAGCCCUUAGGGCAUCGUUUAGACUUUGGGUUUUGUUUAGAUUAAAAGUUCGCCAUAGCUGCAACUUCGCGUACUUCGUUUGUGUUCAACGACCAGACAAAGGCGUCAAAGAACCCCACCUUGAUCAAUAAAGCUUUCAUCUUAUAUUCGCAAUAUCCAGAUUGCAAUCUCAGUUUCUUGCUUGUUCUUCGUUUGCUCGCAGGAAACAGACCCUCGUGGUCAGGUUGAUCGUGCUCCGGCGUGGUCAAUAACCUCUCGGAGUUGGUUUAGCGAUUGCUAAGGCGCGACGUCCUCGCACGUUCGUAGUCGGAUCGUCAAAGUCGACUUCCACCAAAGCGAUAUCCAUCAUCUCAUCGAAAGACGGGACACCUUUGCCUCUAUCAGAAAUUUUUUCGAAAAAUGCGUUUUCAAAAAAAUUUGGGCCUAAACGGAGCGUGGCUACCCGACUCCGGCAAGGAAACACGAAUCGGAAUCUAGAUGGAUCUCGAAAACAAACCUAAUAUGCAAGGAACUCGGAUUGGUGGUGGAUAUAUGGUGGUGGUAUAUGGCAGCGGUGGUGGUAGCGGUGGUAGUAUAUGGAUAUGGAUAUGAAUCGGUGGUGGUAUAUGAAUUGGUGGUGGUAUAUGGAUACGGAUUCGGAGCGGUGGCGGAUAAGCGGUGGUGGUAGAUGGCAGGGGCGAUGAUGAUGGUGCGGCGGCGGCGUGACAACUUAUGACCAGAACUCGAAACUCUAAAAGACUAGACUCUAAGACCAGCAACUAGACACGACGAUGCAACCGCAAAUUCAACAAAGCAAAACCCUAAAAAGAUUAUGCAAAGGCUCAGAUUGGUUCGGAUAUGAUGAACUAACCCUAAUUUUUUUUUUGGCUUUUUCGUGGACUGUAGGUAUGAAGAACAGACUCGAUCUAAACUACGAAAAACUGUAAAAUCUCACCGAGCAACCUGGAAAUCUGAUACCACUUGAUAGAGGCAAAGGUGUCCCGUCUUUCGAUGAGAUGGUGGAUUUCGCUUUGGUGGAAGUCGACUUUGACGAUCCGACUACGAACGUGCGAGGACGUCGCGCCUUAGCAAUCGCUAAACCAACUCCGAGAGGUUAUUGACCACGCCGGAGCACGAUCAACCUGACCACGAGGGUCUGUUUCCUGCGAGCAAACGAAGAACAAGCAAGAAACUAAGAUUGCAAUCUGGAUAUUGCGAAUAUAAGAUGAAAGCUUUAUUGAUCAAGGUGGGGUUCUGUGACGCCUUUGUCUGGUCGUUGAACACAAACGAAGUACGCGAAGUUGCAGCUAUGGCGAACUUUUAAUCUAAACAAAACCCAAAGUCUAAACGAUGCCCUAAGGGCUGUAUGUAUGGAGGAAGAGGGGGGAAUUUCGUGGCCCUUGGUGGAGGAGUCCGAAAUCAACCCUAUCUCUUGUUUCCCCACACAUACGGACUCUAAAAAUAGCCUAUACUUAUGUAUUUCGAAAUUACAUGGGCCUGGCCCAAUAAUAAGGUGACGCAGCACCUAAAAUAGCCUCGGGACGAAAUUUAUGAAGUGGCAUCUUGUAUAUUUCGUCCAAGGCUUCAUGCACCCAUUAUGGUGGCUUCAAAGUCCUGAAAUCAUCACUUGUAACUCCGUUCUUGUUCCCCUUGCGCAUGCCAUCAUCUCCAUGCUUGUUCUUGCUCCAAUGUUCAUCCUUCUCCAAGCUAGGCCCUUCAUUUGUAAGCAAAACAAAUGUAUCCAAUUUAGGCAGCAUCAUAUUCUCAUGAACAUUAGAAUCAUUACCAAGAAACGAAAGUACCUGGUAAUUUAGUUGGCGUGCACGAGCUCUAGUAAUUGGUCCAGUAUGUAUAGCAGCAGGGGCUGUGGGUGUAACAAUUGUAUUGAUGUCCUCAUCAAGUGGUAUCAGAUUUCCAGGUUGCUCGGUGAGAUUUCCAGGUUGCUCGGUGAGAUUUCCAGGGAAACAAGAACAUUAGGGUUGCUUACAAAUGAAGGGCCUAGCUUGGAGAAGGAUGAACAUUGGAGCAAGAACAAGCAUGGAGAUGAUGGCAUGCGCAAGGGAAACAAGAACGGAGUUACAAGUGAUGAUUUCAGGACUUUGAAGCCACCAUAAUGGGUGCAUGAAGCCUUGGACGAAAUAUACAAGACGCCACUUCAUAAAUUUCGUCCCGAGGCUAUUUUAGGUGCUGCGUCACCUUAUUAUUGGGCCAGGCCCAUGUAAUUUCGAAAUACAUAAGUAUAGGCUAUUUUUAGAGUCCGUAUGUGUGGGGAAACAAGAGAUAGGGUUGAUUUCGGACCCCUCCACCAAGGGCCACGAAAUUCCCCCCCCUCUUCCUCCAUAUAUACAGCCCUUAGGGCAUCGUUUAGACUUUGGGUUUUGUUUAGAUUAAAAGUUCGCCAUAGCUGCAACUUCGCGUACUUCGUUUGUGUUCAACGACCAGACAAAGGCGUCACAGAACCCCACCUUGAUCAAUAAAGCUUUCAUCUUAUAUUCGCAAUAUCCAGAUUGCAAUCUCAAUUUCUUGCUUGUUCUUCGUUUGCUCGCAGGAAACAGACCCUCGUGGUCAGGUUGAUCGUGCUCCGGCGUGGUCAAUAACCUCUCGGAGUUGGUUUAGCGAUUGCUAAGGCGCGACGUCCUCGCACGUUCGUAGUCGGAUCGUCAAAGUCGACUGCCACCAAAGCGAUAUCCAUCAUCUCAUCGAAAGACGGGACACCUUUGCCUCUAUCAAGUGGUAUCAGAUUUCCAGGUUGCUCGGUGAGAUUUUACAGUUUUUCGUAGUUUAGAUCGAGUCUGUUCUUCAUACCUACAGUCCACGAAAAAGCCACAAAAAAAAUUAGGGUUAGUUCAUCAUAUCCGAACCAAUCUGAGCCUUUGCAUAAUCUUUUUAGGGUUUUGCUUUGUUGAAUUUGCGGUUGCAUCGUCGGUCUAGUUGCUGGUCUUAGAGUCUAGUCUUUUAGAGUUUCGAGUUCUGGUCAUAAGUUGUCAUGCCGCCGCCGCACCAUCAUCAUCGCCCCUGCCAUCUACCACCACCGCUCCGAAUCCGUAUCCAUAUACCACCACCAAUCCGUGUCCAUAUACCACCACCGAUCCAUAUCCAUAUACUACCACCGCUACCACCACCGCUGCCAUAUACCACCACCAUAUAUCCACCACCAAUCCGACUUCCUUGCUUAUUAGGUUUGUUUUCGAGAUCCAUCUAGUUUCCGAUUCGUGUUUCCUUGCCGGAGUAGGUUUCGGAAAAAAAACGCAUUUUUCGAAAACGCAUUUUUCAAAAAUAAUUCUGGCUAUCCUAUUUUUAGGUGUUUCUGAGUGUUUUGAGACAGGUGCCAUUAUAGGAAGUUUUUUUUGACCCGUUUCCAGUUUUUGGGUCCGGGCAGUCGAAAAAUAAAAAAUUGGUCGAAAAAAAUUUCGUGCCCAUCCUGUCAGUUUGACCUAGGAAGAGUUUUGAGACAGUCGCCAUUAUAGUGAUUUUUCGCAAAAAAAAAGCAGCGCAAAAAAGAAAGAAAAAAAUAAAAAAAGAGCGAAAAAAAAAAUUUCAGAGUGUGCUUUUCCCUUGUUUACGUGUCGCGCCGUGAUUUUGUUGUUGUUCUAGGCUUGCGUCUCUAGCACAGUCUAGCCUAGGACCAGCACAGUACCGUCGUUGAGCGUUUAUUCAACUUUGCAUCUCUGAAUUGAUUAUUGCUAACCCUUUUUGCUACCAUAUUAUAAGCCUUCCCAGCUCCACAUACAUCUACAUCGUGCGUUUGACUCUCCUUGGUAAUCGCUCUAUCCUAGCUUUGAGAGUUUUGACUACAACGGUUGCCGAUCACCGCCUGUUGCUGGGUAAGCGAUGAGGACAUCAAUACAAUUGUUACACCCACAGCCCCUGCUGCUAUACAUACUGGACCAAUUACUAGAGCUCGUGCACGCCAACUAAAUUACCAGGUACUUUCGUUUCUUGGUAAUGAUUCUAAUGUUCAUGAGAAUAUGAUGCUGGCUAAAUUGGAUACAUUUGUUUUGCUUACAAAUGAAGGGCCUAGCUUGGAGAAGGAUGAACAUUGGAGCAAGAACAAGCAUGGAGAUGAUGGCAUGCGCAAGGGGAACAAGAACGGAGUUACAAGUGAUGAUUUCAGGACUUUGAAGCCACCAUAAUGGGUGCAUGAAGCCUUGGACGAAAUAUACAAGAUGCCACUUCAUAAAUUUCGUCCCGAGGCUAUUUUAUGUGUUGCGUCACCUUAUUAUUGGGCCAGGCCCAUGUAAUUUCGAAAUACAUAAGUAUAGGCUAUUUUUAGAGUCCGUAUGUGUGGGGAAACAAGAGAUAGGGUUGAUUUCGGACCCCUCCACCAAGGGCCACGAAAUUCCCCCCUCUUCCUCCAUAUAUACAGCCCUUAGGGCAUCGUUUAGACUUUGGGUUUUGUUUAGAUUAAAAGUUCGCCAUAGCUGCAACUUCGCGUACUUCGUUUGUGUUCAACGACCAGACAAAGGCGUCACAGAACCCCACCUUGAUCAAUAAAGCUUUUCAUCUUAUAUUCGCAAUAUCCAGAUUGCAAUCUCAGUUUCUUGCUUGUUCUUCGUUUGCUCGCAGGAAACAGACCCUCGUGGUCAGGUUGAUCGUGCUCCGGCGUGGUCAAUAACCUCUCGGAGUUGGUUUAGCGAUUGCUAAGGCGCGACGUCCUCGCACGUUCGUAGUCGGAUCGUCAAAGUCGACUUCCAACAAAGCGAUAUCCAUCAUCUCAUCGAAAGACGGGACACCUUUGCCUCUAUCAAGUGGUAUCAGUUUUCAGGUUGCUCGGUGAGAAUCUCCAGUUUUCCUAGAUUAGAUUUAUUUUCUUACCUAUUGUCCAACGACCAGACCAAGACCGCUUACGGAUCCCCACCUUUAUCAAUACCUCAAUACAAUUGUUACACCCACAGCCCCUGCUGCUAUACAUACUGGACCAAUUACUAGAGCCCGUGCACGCCAACUAAAUUACCAGGUACUUUCGUUUCUUGGUAAUGAUUCUAAUGUUCAUGAGAAUAUGAUGCUGCCUAAAUUGGAUACAUUUGUUUUGCUUACAAAUGAAGGGCCUAGCUUGGAGAAGGAUGAACAUUGGAGCAAGAACAAGCAUGGAGAUGAUGGCAUGCGCAAGGGGAACAAGAACGGAGUUACAAGUGAUGAUUUCAGGACUUUGAAGCCACCAUAAUGGGUGCAUGAAGCCUUGGACGAAAUAUACAAGAUGCCACUUCAUAAAUUUCGUCCCGAGGCUAUUUUAGGUGCUGCGUCACCUUAUUAUUGGGCCAGGCCCAUGUAAUUUCGAAAUACAUAAGUAUAGGCUAUUUUUAGAGUCCGUAUGUGUGGGGAAACAAGAGAUAGGGUUGAUUUCGGACUCCUCCACCAAGGGCCACGAAAUUCCCCCCUCUUCCUCCAUACAUACAGCCCUUAGGGCAUCGUUUAGACUUUGGGUUUUGUUUAGAUUAAAAGUUCGCCAUAGCUGCAACUUCGCGUACUUCGUUUGUGUUCAACGACCAGACAAAGGCGUCACAGAACCCCACCUUGAUCAAUAAAGCUUUCAUCUUAUAUUCGCAAUAUCCAGAUUGCAAUCUUAGUUUCUUGCUUGUUCUUCGUUUGCUCGCAGGAAACAGACCCUCGUGGUCAGGUUGAUCGUGCUCCGGCGUGGUCAAUAACCUCUCGGAGUUGGUUUAGCGAUUGCUAAGGCGCGACGUCCUCGCACGUUCGUAGUCGGAUCGUCAAAGUCGACUUCCACCAAAGCGAAAUCCACCAUCUCAUCGAAAGACGGGACACCUUUGCCUCUAUCAAGUGGUAUCAGAUUUCCAGGUUGCUCGGUGAGAUUUUACAGUUUUUCGUAGUUUAGAUCGAGUCUGUUCUUCAUACCUAUAGUCCACGAAAAAGCCAAAAAAAAAAUUAGGGUUAGUUCAUCCCAUCCGAACCAAUCUGAGCCUUGCAUAAUCUUUUCUGUAUUUGCUUUGUUGAAUUUGCGGUUGCAUCGUCGUGUUCAGUUGCUGGUCUUAGCGUCUAGCCUUUUAGAGUUUCGAGUUCUGUUCACAAGUUGUCACGCCGUCGCCGCACCAUCAUCAUCGCCCCUGCCAUCUACCACCACCGCUCCGAAUCCGUCUACCUCCACGUCGCGAAGCAGACCUCCGCCGAGCAAGCCGUGUUCCUCUUGCGUUUGGCCAAACUGUUGGUGCUGCUGUUGAUACUUCUGUGGCUCCUGCUGCUGAUGCGGAGGAGGAUGAUUAUGUGGGAGAUUAUGAGGAUGAGGUUGAUCAAAAUCACCACUACGUGCAGCCACCAGUACCACCACCAGCAGGUCGACCUCAGGUAUAUAUUCGUAAUGGUAGGCCUGCACCACCACCUCAGGUACGCGAUGAUGUCCAUAUUCCUAAACUGAAAUUGAAUAUUCCACCAUUUGAGGGUAGAUAUGUUCCUGAUAUAUAUCUUACUUGGGAGUUAGAAACUGAACAACGAUUUACAUGUUUACAAUAUCCUGAGGAGAGACGAGUUGCUGCUGCUGUUUGUGCUUUCACUAGUUUUGCAUGUGUAUGGUGGUCUGAACAUUGUAGAUUAUAUCCUAUUCCAACUACUUGGGCUGCUUUGAAAACUGCUAUGCAUACGCGUUGGGUUCCACCAUAUUAUCAACGUGAAUUGCUUCAAAAAUUGCAGCGUUUAAGACAAGGAAAAAAUUCUGUAGAAGAAUAUUAUCAGGAAUUACAAACUGGCAUGAUUAGAUGUGGUAUUGUUGAGGAGAAUGAAGCUAUGCUUGCACGUUUUCUGGGUGGAUUAAAUAGAGAGAUUCAGACCAUUCUAGACUAUAAGGAGUAUACUAAUAUCACUCGUUUAUUCCAUCUUGCUUGUAAAGCUGAACGUGAAGUGCAGGAUCGACAAGCAUUGGGGCGAACUAACUUUUCUGCAGGCCGACCUUCAUCAUGGACACCACGUGCAUCUUCUACUUCAACUGCACCAGCACCUCCAUCCGGUGCCACCUCCAGCCGUGAUACAAGAAAACAGGCACAACCACCAUUAUCUGCCAAGAGCGCACCUGCGGGGCCUGCACAGCGUUCUUUUUCUUCCAUGGCAUCAACAGGGCACACAAGUGAUAUUAUUUGUCGUCGUUGUAAGGGAGGAGGUCAUUAUGCGAGAGAAUGCAAAUCUCCGCGUGUGAUGAUUGCUACCGCGGAUGGUGGAUAUGAGUCCGCUAGUGACUAUGAUGAGGAGACAUUGGCUCUUAUUACACGUGAAGAACAUGGUGGAGAUGAUUCUGAUCAUGAGACGCAAUACAUGGCUCCUGAAGACGCUGACAGGUAUGAAUGUUUAGUUGCUCAACGUGUUUUGAGUGUGCAGGUCACACAAGCUGAGCAAAAUCAGAGGCACAAUUUGUUCCAUACCAAGGGAGUUGUGAAGGAACGUUCUGUGCGCGUCAUAAUAGACGGAGGGAGCUGCAACAACUUGGCUAGCAUGGAGAUGGUGGAGAAGCUUUCUCUCACCACAAGACCACAUCCACAUCCUUACUACAUCCAAUGGUUCAACAACAGUGGCAAGGUUAAGGUAACACGUACUGUUCGUGUGCAUUUUUGAUGAGGACAUCAAUACAAUUGUUACACCCACAGCCCCUGCUGCUAUACAUACUGGACCAAUUACUAGAGCUCGUGCACGCCAACUAAAUUACCAGGUACUUUCGUUUCUUGGUAAUGAUUCUAAUGUUCAUGAGAAUAUGAUGCUGCCUAAAUUGGAUACAUUUGUUUUGCUUACAAAUGAAGGGCCUAGCUUGGAGAAGGAUGAACAUUGGAGCAAGAACAAGCAUGGAGAUGAUGGCAUGCGCAAGGGAAACAAGAACGGAGUUACAAGUGAUGAUUUCAGGACUUUGAAGCCACCAUAAUGGGUGCAUGAAGCCUUGGACGAAAUAUACAAGAUGACACUUCAUAAAUUUCGUCCCGAGGCUAUUUUAGGUGCUGCGUCACCUUAUUAUUGGGCCAGGCCCAUGUAAUUUCGAAAUACAUAAGUAUAGGCUAUUUUUAGAGUCCGUAUGUGUGGGGAAACAAGAGAUAGGGUUGAUUUCGGACCCCUCCACCAAGGGCCACGAAAUUCCCCCCUCUUCCUCCAUAUAUACAGCCCUUAGGGCAUCGUUUAGACUUUGGGUUUUGUUUAGAUUAAAAGUUCGCCAUAGCUGCAACUUCGCGUACUUCGUUUGUGUUCAACGACCAGACAAAGGCGUCACAGAACGCCACCUUGAUCAAUAAAGCUUUCAUCUUAUAUUCGCAAUAUCCAGAUUGCAAUCUUAGUUUCUUGCUUGUUCUUCGUUUGCUCGCAGGAAACAGACCCUCGUGGUCAGGUUGAUCGUGCUCCGGCGUGGUCAAUAACCUCUCGGAGUUGGUUUAGCGAUUGCUAAGGCGCGACGUCCUCGCACGUUCGUAGUCGGAUCGUCAAAGUCGACUUCCACCAAAGCGAUAUCCAUCAUCUCAUCGAAAGACGGGACACCUCCGCCUCUAUCAAGUGGUAUCAGAUUUCCAGGUUGCUCGGUGAGAUUUUACAGUUUUUCGUAGUUUAGAUCGAGUCUGUUCUUCAUACCUACAGUCCACGAAAAAGCCACAAAAAAAAUUAGGGUUAGUUCAUCAUAUCCGAACCAAUCUGAGCCUUUGCAUAAUCUUUUUAGGGUUUUGCUUUGUUGAAUUUGCGGUUGCAUCGUCGUGUCUAGCUGCUGGUCUUAGAGUCUAGUCUUUUAGAGUUUCGAGUUCUGGUCAUAAGUUGUCACGCCGCCGCCGCACCAUCAUCAUCGCCCCUGCCAUCUACCACCACCGCUUAUCCGCUACCGCUCCGAAUCCGUAUCCAUAUACCACCACCGAUCCAUAUCCAUAUACUACCACCGCUACCACCACCGCUGCCACAUACCACCACCAUAUAUCCACCACCAAUCCGAGUUCCUUGCAUAUUAGGUUUGUUUUCGAGAUCCAUCUAGAUUCCGAUUCGUGUUUCCUUGCCGGAGUAGGUUUCGGAAAAAAAAGAGUCGGGUAGCCACGCUCCGUUUAGGCCCAAAAUUUUUCGAAAACGCAUUUUUCGAAAAAAAUUCUGGCUAUCCUAUUUUUAGGUGUUUCUGAGUGUUUUGAGACAGGUGCCAUUAUAGGAAGUUUUUUUUGACCUGUUUCCAGAUUUUGGGUCCGGGCAGUCGAAAAAAAAAAUUUGGUCGAAAAAAUAAAUUUCGUGCCCAUCCUGUCAGUUUGACCUAGGAAGAGUUUUGAGACACUCGCCAUUAUAGUGAUUUUUCGCAAAAAAAAAGCAGCGCAAAAAAAAGAGCGCAAAAAAGAAAGAGCGAAAAAAAAAUUCAGAGUGUGCUUUUCCCUUGUUUACGUGCCGCGCCGUGAUUUUGUUGGUGUUCUAGGCUCGCGUCUCUAGCACAUUCUUGCCUAGGACCAGCACAGUACGUCGUUGAGCGUUUAUUCAACUUUGCAUCUCUGAAUUGAUUAUUGCUGACCCUUUUUGCUACCAUACUAUAAGCCUUCCCAGCUCCACAUACAUCUACGUCGUGUGUUUGACUCUCCCUGGUAAUCGCUCUAUCCAAGCUUUGAGAGUUUUUGACUACAACGGUUGCCGAUCACCGCCUGCUGCUGGGUAAGAAUUUGAGAUUUGCUUGACGGAUUUGUGAUACACCACCACCACUUCUUAGUAGUCUGUAGGAUCAUAUUCUUGUGUGUUUCUAUUGCUGCUAACCAUGCCAGGAUCACAAGCCGACGAGAUUGACUGGGAGAACUUAUCGAACAAGGAGCUUGAUGAUAAGUUUCAGCAAAUGAUGACUGAACAGGUACAAGAUGUGCUGAACAAUUUUGAAGAGGCCAUGGAGAAGAUCAUUGGCCUUGAGAAGACGUUCGAAACAAAGCUCGAUAACAGAUUUAAUGAACUGCUUGCGCGUCUUCCACCACCGGCUGCACCUGUCGCACCUCUGUAACAACAACAACUACGCCCCCUUCCGAAUCAGUAUGGACGAGCACAGCGUGUUCCUAUUGUGCCAGGACAAAAUUCUGGUGCCGCUGUUACUGCUGUUGGUGCUUCUUUGGCUCCUGCUACUGCUCCUGCUGGUACCCAGGAGGAUGAUGAGUAUGCGGGCGAUUAUGAGGAUGAGGUUGAUCAAAAUCAGAUCUACGAGCAGCCACCAGCACCACCACCAGCAGGUCGACCUCAGGUAUAUAUUCGUAAUGGUAGGCCUGCACCACCACCUCAGGUACGAGAUGAUGUCCAUAUUCCUAAACUGAAAUUGAAUAUUCCACCAUUUGAGGGUAGAUAUGUUCCUGAUAUAUAUCUUACAUGGGAGUUAGAAACUGAACAACGAUUUACAUGUUUACAAUAUCCUGAGGAGAGACGAGUUGCUGCUGCUGUUUGUGCUUUCACUAGUUUUGCAUGUGUAUGGUGGUCUGAACAUUGUAGAUUAUAUCCUAUUCCAACUACUUGGGCUGCUUUGAAAACUGCUAUGCGUACGCGUUGGGUUCCACCAUAUUAUCAACGUGAAUUGCUUCAAAAAUUGCAGCGUUUAAGACAAGGGAAAAAUUCUGUUGAAGAAUAUAAUCAGGAAUUACAAACUGGCAUGAUUAGAUGUGGUAUUGUUGAGGAGAAUGAAGCUAUGCUUGCACGUUUUCUGGGUGGAUUAAAUAGAGAGAUUCAGACCAUUCUAGACUAUAAGGAGUAUACUAAUAUCACUCAUUUAUUCCAUCUUGCUUGUAAAGCUGAACGUGAAGUGCAGGAUCGACAAGCAUUGGGGCGAACUAACUUUUCUGCAGGCCGACCUUCAUCAUGGACACCACGUGCAUCUUCUACUUCAACUGCACUAGCACCUCCAUCCGGUGCCACCUCCAGCCGUGAUACAAGAAAACAGGCACAACCACCAUUAUCUGCCAAGAGCGCACCUGCGGGGCCUGCACAGCGUUCUUCUUCUUCCAUGGCAUCAACAGGGCACACAAGUGAUAUUAUUUGUCGUCGUUGUAAGGGAGGAGGUCAUUAUGCGAGGGAAUGCAAAUCUCCGCGUGUGAUGAUUGCUACCGCGGAUGGUGGAUAUGAGUCCGCUAGUGACUAUGAUGAGGAGACAUUGGCUCUUAUUACACGUGAAGAACAUGGUGGAGAUGAUUCUGAUCAUGAGACGCAAUACAUGGCUCCUGAAGACGCUGACAGGUAUGAAUGUUUAGUUGCUCAACGUGUUUUGAGUGUGCAGGUCACACAAGCUGAGCAAAAUCAGAGGCACAAUUUGUUCCAUACCAAGGGAGUUGUGAAGGAACGUUCUGUGCGCGUCAUAAUAGACGGAGGGAGCUACAACAACUUGGCUAGCAUGGAGAUGGUGGAGAAGCUUUCUCUCACCACAAGACCACAUCCACAUCCUUACUACAUCCAAUGGUUCAACAACAGCGGCAAGGUUAAGGUAACACGUACUGUUCGUGUGCAUUUUAGUAUCUCUACAUAUGCUGAUUAUGUUGAUUGUGAUGUGGUACCUAUGCAAGCAUGUUCCUUAUUACUUGGUAGACCAUGGCAAUUUGAUAAAAAUUCUGUACACCAUGGUAGAAACAAUCACUAUACUCUUGUUCAUAAGGAUAAAAAUAUUACUUUGCUUCCUAUGACUCCUGAUUCCAUUUUGAAAGAUGAUAUUAAUAGAGCUAAUAAAGCACAACAGGAGAAGAAUAAGAGUGAAAAUCAGAUUGUGGCAAAAGAAUUUGAGCAACAAAUGAAGCCUAAUAAUAAACCAUCUAGUGUUGCUUCUGAAAUUAAAUUGAAAUGUGCAUGUUUAUUUGCCACCAAAUCUGAUAUUGAUGAGCUAGAUUUCAGCAAAUCUGUUUGCUAUGCUUUUGUGUGCAAAGAGGCAUUAUUUUCAUUCGAGGACGUGCCUUCCUCUUUGCCUCCUGCUGUCACUAACAUUUUGCAGGAGUUCGCUGACGUUUUUCCACAAGACGUGCCACCGGGAUUACCGCCUAUUCGAGGGAUUGAGCAUCAGAUUGACUUAAUUCCCGGUGCUUCACUGCCAAACCGUGCACCAUACCGUACCAAUCCAGAGGAGACGAAGGAGAUUAUGCGUCAAGAACAAGAGCUUCUCGACAAAGGUUAUAUACGCGAAUCCCUUAGUCCUUGUGCUGUUCCUAUUAUUCUAGUGCCGAAAAAGGAUGGUACAUCACGUAUGUGUGUUGAUUGUAGAGGCAUUAAUAAUAUUACUAUUCGUUAUCGUCAUCCUAUUCCUAGGCUAGAUGAUAUGCUUGAUGAAUUGAGUGGCUCUACAAUAUUCUCCAAAGUUGAUUUGCGUAGUGGCUACCAUCAAAUUCGUAUGAAAUUGGGAGAUGAAUGGAAAACAGCAUUUAAAACUAAGUUUGGAUUAUAUGAGUGGUUAGUCAUGCCUUUUGGGUUAACUAAUGCACCUAGUACUUUCAUGAGAUUAAUGAACGAAGUUUUACGUGCUUUCAUUGGACGAUUUGUGGUAGUUUACUUUGAUGACAUAUUGAUUUAUAGCAGAUCUUUGGAAGAACAUUUGGAACAUUUACGUGCUGUUUUUAUUGCUCUACGUUGAUGAGGACAUCAAUACAAUUGUUACACCCACAGCCCCUGCUGCUAUACAUACUGGACCAAUUACUAGAGCUCGUGCACGCCAACUAAAUUACCAGGUACUUUCGUUUCUUGGUAAUGAUUCUAAUGUUCAUGAGAAUAUGAUGCUGCCUAAAUUGGAUACAUUUGUUUUGCUUACAAAUGAAGGGCCUACCUUGGAGAAGGAUGAACAUUGGAGCAAGAACAAGCAUGGAGAUGAUGGCAUGCGCAAGGGGAACAAGAACGGAGUUACAAGUGAUGAUUCCAGGACUUUGAAGCCACCAUAAUGGGUGCAUGAAGCCUUGGACGAAAUAUACAAGAUGCCACUUCAUAAAUUUCGUCCCGAGGCUAUUUUAGGUGCUGCGUCACCUUAUUAUUGGGCCAGGCCCAUGUAAUUUCGAAAUACAUAAGUAUAGGCUAUUUUUAGAGUCCGUAUGUGUGGGGAAACAAGAGAUAGGGUUGAUUUCGGAUCCCUCCACCAAGGGCCACGAAAUUCCCCCCCCUCUUCCUCCAUAUAUACAGCCCUUAGGGCAUCGUUUAGACUUUGGGUUUUGUUUAGAUUAAAAGUUCGCCAUAGCUGCAACUUCGCGUACUUCGUUUGUGUUCAACGACCAGACAAAGGCGUCACAGAACCCCACCUUGAUCAAUAAAGCUUUCAUCUUAUAUUCGCAAUAUCCAGAUUGCAAUCUUAGUUUCUUGCUUGUUCUUCGUUUGCUCGCAGGAAACAGACCCUCGUGGUCAGGUUGAUCGUGCUCCGGUGUGGUCAAUAACCUCUCGGAGUUGGUUUAGCGAUUGCUAAGGCGUGACGUCCUCGCACGUUCGUAGUCGGAUCGUCAAAGUCGACUUCCACCAAAGCGAUAUCCAUCAUCUCAUCGAAAGAUCGGGACCCUCGCCUCUAUCAAGUGGUAUCAGAUUUCCAGGUUGCUCGGUGAGAUUUUACAGUUUUUCGUAGUUUAGAUCGAGUCUGUUCUUCAUACCUAUAGUCCACGAAAAAGCCAAAAAAAAAUUAGGGUUAGUUCAUCCCAUCCGAACCAAUCUGAGCCUUGCAUAAUCUUUUCUGUAUUUGCUUUGUUGAAUUUGCGGUUGCAUCGUCGUGUUCAGUUGCUGGUCUUAGCGUCUAGUCUUUUAGAGUUUCGAGUUCUGUUCACAAGUUGUCACGCCGUCGCCGCACCAUCAUCAUCGCCCCUGCCAUCUACCACCACCGCUCCGAAUCCGUAUCCAUAUACCACCACCAAUCCGCUGCCAUAUACCACCACCAUAUAUCCACCACCAAUCCGAGUUCCUUGCUUAUUAGGUUUGAGCAACAAAUGAAGCCUAAUAAUAAACCAUCUAGUGUUGCUUCUGAAAUUAAAUUGAUAAGUGCAUGUUUAUUUGCCACCAAAUCUGAUAUUGAUGAGCUAGAUUUCAGCAAAUCUGUUUGCUAUGCUUUUGUGUGCAAAGAGGCAUUAUUUUCAUUCGAGGACGUGCCUUCCUCUUUGCCUCCUGCUGUCACUAACAUUUUGCAGGAGUUCGCUGACGUUUUUCCACAAGACGUGCCAUCGGGAUUACCGCCUAUUCGAGGGAUUGAGCAUCAGAUCGACUUAAUUCCCGGUGCUUCACUGCCAAACCGUGCACCAUACCGUACCAAUCCAGAGGAGACGAAGGAGAUUAUGCGUCAAGUACAAGAGCUUCUCGACAAAGGUUAUAUACGCGAAUCCCUUAGUCCUUGUGCUGUUCCUAUUAUUCUAGUGCCGAAAAAGGAUGGUACAUCACGUAUGUGUGUUGAUUGUAGAGGCAUUAAUAAUAUUACUAUUCGUUAUCGUCAUCCUAUUCCUAGGCUAGAUGAUAUGCUUGAUGAAUUGAGUGGCUCUACAAUAUUCUCCAAAGUUGAUUUGCGUAGUGGCUACCAUCAAAUUCGUAUGAAAUUGGGAGAUGAAUGGAAAACAGCAUUUAAAACUAAGUUUGGAUUAUAUGAGUGGUUAGUCAUGCCUUUUGGGUUAACUAAUGCACCUAGUACUUUCAUGAGAUUAAUGAACGAAGUUUUACGUGCUUUCAUUGGACGAUUUGUGGUAGUUUACUUUGAUGACAUAUUGAUUUAUAGCAGAUCUUUGGAAGAACAUUUGGAACAUUUACGUGCUGUUUUUAUUGCUCUACGUGAUGCACGUUUGUUUGGUAACCUUGGGAAGUGCAUCUUUUGCACCGACCGAGUAUCUUUUCUUGGCUAUGUUGUUACUCCACAGGGAAUUGAAGUUGAUACAGCCAAGAUUGAAGCUAUUGAGAGUUGGCCGCAGCCCAAAACGGUCACACAAGUGAGGAGUUUUCUUGGCUCGCUGGAUUCUAUAGGCGUUUUGUGAGAGAUUUCAGCACCAUUGCUGCACCUCUCAAUGAGCUUACAAAGAAAGACGUGCCUUUUCUUUGGGGUACCGCACAGGAAGAAGCCUUCACGGUAUUGAAAGAUAAGUUGACACAUGCUCCUUUACUCCAACAUCCUGAUUUUAAUAAGACUUUUGAGCUUGAAUGUGAUGCUAGUGGAAUUGGAUUAGGCGGUGUGUUAUUACAAGAUGGCAAACAUGUUGCAUACUUUUCUGAAAAAUUGAGUGGGCCUAGUCUGAAUUAUUCUACUUAUGAUAAAGAAUUAUAUGCUCUUGUUCGGACUUUAGAAACAUGGCAACAUUAUUUAUGGCCCAAAGAAUUUGUUAUACAUUCUGAUCAUGAAUCUUUGAAACAUAUUAAAAGUCAAGCUAAACUGAACCGUAGACAUGCUAAAUGGGUUGAAUUCAUUGAGACUUUUCCUUAUGUCAUUAAACACAAGAAGGGAAAAGAAAAUGUUAUUGCUGAUGCAUUGUCUCGCCGCUAUACUAUGCUUUCACAACUUGACUUCAAAAUAUUUGGUUUGGAAACCAUCAAAGAUCAAUAUGUGCAUGAUGCUGAUUUUAAAGAUGUAAUGCAGAAUUGUAAAGAAGGAAGAAUGUGGAACAAGUUUGUUGUUAACGAUGGAUUUGUGUUUCGUGCUAACAAGCUAUGCAUUCCAGCUAGCUCCGUUCGUCUUUUGUUGUUGCAGGAGGCGCAUGGAGGAGGAUUAAUGGGACACUUUGGCGUGAAGAAGACGGAGGACGUACUUGCUACACAUUUCUUUUGGCCAAAGAUGAGACGGGAUGUUGAGUGUUUUAUUGCUCGCUGCACUACAUGUCAAAAAGCUAAGUCACGACUCAAUCCUCAUGGUUUAUAUAUGCCUUUGCCUGUACCUAGUGUUCCUUGGGAGGAUAUAUCUAUGGACUUUGUUUUAGGUUUACCUCGAACAAAGAAGGGGAGGGAUAGCAUAUUUGUUGUCGUGGAUAGAUUCUCGAAGAUGGCACACUUUAUACCAUGUCAUAAAAGCGAUGAUGCUGUUAAUGUUGCUGAUUUGUUCUUUCGUGAAAUUAUUCGCUUGCAUGGUGUGCCAAAUACUAUUGUUUCAUAUCGUGAUACUAAAUUUCUUAGCCACUUUUGGAGAUGUUUAUGGGCUAAGUUGGGGACUAAACUGCUUUUUAGUACUACUUGUCACCCCCAAACUGAUGGACAAACUGAAGUAGUCAAUAGAACGUUGUCUACUAUGCUUAGGGCUGUUUUGAAGAAUAAUAAGAAAAUGUGGGAGGAAUGCUUGCCUCAUAUUGAAUUUGCUUAUAAUCGUUCAUUGCAUUCUACUACUAAGAUGUGCCCUUUUGAAGUUGUGUAUAGUUUCCUACCUCAUGCACCUAUUGAUUUGUUGCCUCUUCCAUCUUUGGAGAAGGUUAAUUUUGAUGCUAAACAACGUGCUGAAUUGAUUUUAAAAAUGCAUGAGUUAACUAAGGAAAACAUUGAGCGCAUGAAUGCUAAAUAUAAACUUGCUGGAGAUAAGGGUAGAAAACAUGUUGUGUUUGCACCUGGAGAUCUUGUUUGGUUACAUUUGCGUAAGGAUAGAUUUCCUGAUUUGCGCAAAUCAAAGUUAAUGCCACGUGCUGAUGGUCCCUUUAAGGUGUUAGAGAAAAUAAAUGAUAAUGCACAUAAACUUGAGCUGCCUGCAGAUUUUGGGGUUAGUCCCACUUUUAACAUUGCAGAUUUGAAGCCUUAUUUGGGUGAGGAAGAUGAACUUCCAUCGAGGACGGCUUCAUUUCAAGAAGGGGAGGAUGAUGAGGACAUCAAUACAAUUGUUACACCCACAGCCCCUGCUGCUAUACAUACUGGACCAAUUACUAGAGCUCGUGCACGCCAACUAAAUUACCAGGUACUUUCGUUUCUUGGUAAUGAUUCUAAUGUUCAUGAGAAUAUGAUGCUGCCUAAAUUGGAUACAUUUGUUUUGCUUACAAAUGGAGGGCCUAGCUUGAAGAAGGAUGAACAUUGGAGCAAGAACAAGCAUGGAGAUGAUGGCAUGCGCAAGGGGAACAAGAACGGAGUUACAAAUGAUGAUUUCAGGACUUUGAAGCCACCAUAAUGGGUGCAUGAAGCCUUGGACGAAAUAUACAAGAUGCCACUUCAUAAAUUUCGUCCCGAGGCUAUUUUAGGUGCUGCGUCACCUUAUUAUUGGGCCAGGCCCAUGUAAUUUCGAAAUACAUAAGUAUAGGCUAUUUUUAGAGUCCGUAUGUGUGGGGAAACAAGAGAUAGGGUUGAUUUCGGACCCCUCCACCAAGGGCCACGAAAUUCCCCCCUCUUCCUCCAUAUAUACAGUGAUGAGGACAUGACUACCAUGGAUAUGAACAAAAAUAUUGCAUAUAUGCAUAUUUGUCAGGUGAUUUCUAGUGCAAACUAUUCAAUAAUCUAUUUAUGUUAUCCAGAACAAAAAUACUUCACACACUUUUGUGUUUUGUCUAAUUGCAGGUGUAUGGGACAUUUGUACAAUCCACAUAUGAAGAUAAGGAAGAAAGAGAUGUUUAUUUUCUGUCUAAAAAGUUCUCUCACGUCACUUUUGGCCCAAGAGAAGAUAGAGUCCAAGUCUCUCACGUUCUGGAUUCAGAUUCGGACUGCACAGACACACCUGACUCAAAACGCACACAAGUUUUUCAUACGGACUCUGAAUUGGGUGAUUCUUUUUUUGUUGGAAACUAGAUUUCGUGCACUUUCCAACCCAAUUGGAAUCACCUUCAAAUUCGUCCGGAGAGUUGAGUUGUGGACGAAACAAUCUGAUGCUGCAGCAGAAUCCGAGUCAAACUACAAGUCCAAAGGUGUUACAUCACCUCCACUUGGGCCCAUUGGCCUUGUACGACCUAGAUUUAGUUUUAGGUUGCCUUGGGACGUCCUCCCACCUCCUUGGCCUCCACCCCUUUGAUAGAGGCAGAGGUGUCCCGUCUUUCGAUGAGAUGAUGGAUUUCGCUUUGGUCAAAGUCGACUUUGACGAUCCGAUGAUAGAGGCAAAGGUGUCCCGUCUUUCGAUGAGAUGGUGGAUUUCGCUUUGGUGGAAGUCGACUUUGACGAUCCGACUACGAACGUGCGAGGACGUCGCGCCUUAGCAAUCGCUAAACCAACUCCGAGAGGUUAUUGACCACGCCGGAGCACGAUCAACCUGACCACGAGGGUCUGUUUCCUGCGAGCAAACGAAGAACAAGCAAGAAACUAAGAUUGCAAUCUGGAUAUUGCGAAUAUAAGAUGAAAGCUUUAUUGAUCAAGGUGGGGUUCUGUGACGCCUUUGUCUGGUCGUUGAACACAAACGAAGUACGCGAAGUUGCAGCUAUGGCGAACUUUUAAUCUAAACAAAACCCAAAGUCUAAACGAUGCCCUAAGGGCUGUAUAUAUGGAGGAAGAGGGGGAGAAUUUCGUGGCCCUUGGUGGAGGGGUCCGAAAUCAACCCUAUCUCUUGUUUCCCCACACAUAGGGACUCUAAAAAUAGCCUAUACUUAUGUAUUUCGAAAUUACAUGGGCCUGGCCCAAUAAUAAGGUGACGCAGCACCUAAAAUAGCCUCGGGACGAAAUUUAUGAAGUGGCGUCUUGUAUAUUUCGUCCAAGGCUUCAUGCACCCAUUAUGGUGGCUGCAAAGUCCUGAAAUCAUCACUUGUAACUCCGUUCUUGUUUCCCUUGCGCAUGCCAUCAUCUCCAUGCUUGUUCUUGCUCCAAUGUUCAUCCUUCUCCAAGCUAGGCCCUUCAUUUGUAAGCAAAACAAAUGUAUCCAAUUUAGGCAGCAUCAUAUUCUCAUGAACAUUAGAAUCAUUACCAAGAAACGAAAGUACUUGGUAAUUUAGUUGGCGUGCACGAGCUCUAGUAAUUGGUCCAGUAUGUAUAGCAGCAGGGGCUGUGGGUGUAACAAUUGUAUUGAUGUCCUCAUCAUCCUCCCCUUCUUGAAAUGAAGUCGUCCUCGACAGAAGUUCAUCUUCCUCACCCAAAUAAGGCUUCAAAUCUGCAAUGUUAAAAGUGGGACUAACCCCAAAAUCUGCUGGCAGCUCAAGUUUAUAUGCAUUAUCAUUUAUUUUCUCUAACACCUUAAAGGGACCAUCAGCACGUGGCAUUAACUUUGAUUUGCGCAAAUCAGGAAAUCUAUCCUUACGCAAAUGUAACCAAACAAGAUCUCCAGGUGCAAACACAACAUGUUUUCUACCCUUAUCUCCAGCAAGUUUAUAUUUAGCAUUCAUGCGCUCAAUGUUUUCCUUAGUUAACUCAUGCAUUUUUAAAAUCAAUUCAGCACGUUGUUUAGCAUCAAAAUUAACCUUCUCCGAAGAUGGAAGAGGCAACAAGUCAAUAGGUGCACGAGGUAGGAAACCAUACACAACUUCAAAAGGGCACAUCUUAGUAGUAGAAUGCAAUGAACGAUUAUAAGCAAAUUCAAUAUGAGGCAAGCAUUCCUCCCACAUUUUCUUAUUAUUCUUCAAAACAGCCCUAAGCAUAGUAGACAACGUUCUAUUGACUACUUCAGUUUGUCCAUCAGUUUGGGGGUGACAAGUAGUACUAAAAAGNNNNNNNNNNNNNNNNNNNNNNNNNNNNNNNNNNNNNNNNNNNNNNNNNNNNNNNNNNNNNNNNNNNNNNNNNNNNNNNNNNNNNNNNNNNNNNNNNNNNAAAAAUAGCCUAUACUUAUGUAUUUCGAAAUUACAUGGGCCUGGCCCAAUAAUAAGGUGACGCAGCACCUAAAAUAGCCUCGGGACGAAAUUUAUGAAGUGGCGUCUUGUAUAUUUCGUCCAAGGCUUCAUGCACCCAUUAUGGUGGCUUCAAAGUCCUGAAAUCAUCACUUGUAACUCCGUUCUUGUUUCCCUUGCGCAUGCCAUCAUCUCCAUGCUUGUUCUUGCUCCAAUGUUCAUCCUUCUCCAAGCUAGGCCCUUCAUUUGUAAGCAAAACAAAUGUAUCCAAUUUAGGCAGCAUCAUAUUCUCAUGAACAUUAGAAUCAUUACCAAGAAACGAAAGUACCUGGUAAUUUAGUUGGCGUGCACGAGCUCUAGUAAUUGGUCCAGUAUGUAUAGCAGCAGGGGCUGUGGGUGUAACAAUUGUAUUGAUGUCCUCAUCAACAAAUCAAUAGGUGCACGAGGUAGGAAACCAUACACAACUUCAAAAGGGCACAUCUUAGUAGUAGAAUGCAAUGAACGAUUAUAAGCAAAUUCAAUAUGAGGCAAGCAUUCCUCUCACAUUUUCUUAUUAUUCUUCAAAACAGCCCUAAGCAUAGUAGACAACGUUCUAUGGACUACUUCAGUUUGUCCAUCAGUUUGGGGGUGACAAGUAGUACUAAAAAGCAGUUUAGUCCCCAACUUAGCCCAUAAACAUCUCCAAAAGUGGCUAAGAAAUUUAGUAUCACGAUCUGAAACAAUAGUAUUUGGCACACCAUGCAAGCGAAUAAUUUCACGAAAGAACAAAUCAGCAACAUUAACAACAUCAUCGCUUUUAUGACAUGGUAUAAAGUGUGCCAUUUUCGAGAAUCUAUCCACGACAACAAAUAUGCUAUCCCUCCCCUUCUUUGUUCGAGGUAAACCUAAAACAAAGUCCAUAGAUAUAUCCUCCCAAGGAACACUAGGUACAGGCAAAGGCAUAUAUAAACCAUGAGGAUUGAGUCGUGACUUAGCUUUUUGACAUGUAGUGCAGCGAGCAAUAAAACGCUCAACAUCCCCUCUCAUCUUUGGCCAAAACAAAUGUGUUGAUGAGGACAUGACUACCUUGGAUAUGACCAAAAAUAUUGCAUAUAUGCAAUAUUUUUGGUCAUAUCCAAGGUAGUCAUGUCCUCAUCAAGGCAGCCUAAAACUAAAUCUAGGUCGUACAAGGCCAAUGGGCCCAAGUGGAGGUGAUGUAACACCUUUGGACUUGUAGUUUGACUCGGAUUCUGCUGCAGCAUCAGAUUGUUUCGUCCACAACUCAACGCUCCGGACGAAUUUGAAGGUGAUUCCACUUGGGUUGGAAAGUGCACGAAAUCUAGUUUCCAACAAAAAAAGAAUCACCCAAUUCGGAGUCCGUAUGAAAAACUUGUGUGCGUUUUGAGUCAGGUAUGUCUGUGCAGUCCGAAUCUGAAUCCAGAACGUGGGAGACUUGGACUCUAUCUUCUCUUGGGCCAAAAGUGACGUGAGAGAACUUUUUGGAUAGCAAAUAAACAUCUCUUUCUUCCUUAUCUUCAUAUGUGGAUUGUACAAAUGUCCCAUACACCUGCAAUUAGACAAAACACAAAAGUGUGUGAAGUAUUUUUGUUCUGGAUAACAUAAAUAGAUUAUUGAAUAUUUUGCACUAGAAAUCACCUGACAAAUAUGCAUAUAUGCAAUAUUUUUGGUCAUAUCCAAGGUAGUCAUGUCCUCAUCAUCCUCCCCUUCUUGAAAAUAAAGCCGUCCUCGGCGUUGCUUAAUCUGAAAUGUGGCUAACAAAAGAGACAAGGUGUACAUGUUGUAUAUGUAUAUGUCAUCCAUUUUUACUUUCCUUGAUUUUUGCAUAUAUGACACAUGAAUAGAUGAGUAACUUGCAUAGUUCAUAAAAUCUAAAGCCAAAAAAUUAGCACAAGAAGUAGAAGGCAUGAAAAUAUUGCAACUCAGUUUGCACAUAUAAGUGAAGCUCUUAUUCAUUUCAAAAGAUUGACAAUGUUCAUCAUUAAACCAUCCCAACAUUGGUGAAUAAACCUUACUUGCAUCUAAUUUACAUGCUACAACAUGCUUAAAUAAGCAAACAUGCAAUAAGUCAUUUAACACAGAAUCAUCACCAAGAUUAGAGGUCAUAUCAAAAUGAUUAAACAUUGGUUCUUUUGCAUCAAUAGUUAAUUCAAUGGGUGCACUCAAAAUUGUUGGUAUUUCAGUUGUUUGAUCACAUGGCAAAGUCAAAUUAUCAACGUAGUCCUCUAAAAUAGGUGGUGUGAUCAAAGUAGUGGGUAGCUCAUCAGAUGGUGCAUUCAAAUUGACAAGGCAUUCAUCAUUCUCAUGUAGAGAUGGAAGAUCAGUACCUUUGUCAUUACCUCUUAUGAUCAACUCAGAUGAUGUAGCCACUCUCGGGGGCGAUGUGUCACAUGGUGGAGGUGAUGUAGUCCUGACAACAACGGAUGUGGUUGUCAUAGUAUGCCUAGUAGUUGAAGGAACAAUCAUAUCAACUCUUGGAAUGUGCAUCGUGCGCUUGUUCUCCUCGUGGCCAACACGUUGUUUUAUUUCCUGUUCAGCUUUGCAAGCAAGAUGAAACAAAUGGUCCAUAAGAUAACACUCUUCAUGAAUUAGUAUCUCUUGAAUAUCACGGUUUAAUCCUCCCCAAAAUCUAUCCAUAAAAUCAUCUUCACUUUCUUCUAAAGAGGAAUGCAACAAGGUAGUUUGUAAAUCAUCAUAAUAUUUUGUUACAGUUUCACUACCUUGUUUUAAGUGUUGCAACUUCUUAAUCAUGUCACGAGUAUAAUAAGCAGGGACGAAAGUAUGUCGCAUGGCAAGUUUCAAAUCAUCCCAAGUAGUAGGUAUAUAAUCAGGGUGUAACCGACAAUAUUCACUCCACCAAACACAAGCAUAACCAGUGAAAGAACCAACCGCAACCUUAACCUUUUUAUGUUCAUUGAAAUUAUGGGAAGCAAAUAUAUUUUUUAUGUCGAACUCCCAUUCAAUAUAUAAAGCAGGUUUAAAACGGCCAUUAAAUGGUGGUAUAGAUACAUUAACCUGAUCAUGUGCAUUUGGAUGUUUGUGCACCUCUCGUGACGGUUCUGGUAUUUGCAAAGGUGGUGGCACGUCUCCCGCGAUCGACAAAGCCCAUGAAUUGACUCUGGAUCCUGUCAUAAUUAGUAGAACAAGAAACAAAACCCAAAAAUAAUGUUCCUAUAACUACUAGGAUGUGGUGGUAAAACGCUCACAGUAAAGCAAAUAUCAAUGUCUUACAAGUUCUUACCAUGCAGCAGGCGGUGAUCGGCAACCAGCGGUGUCAAGUAACUCCGAAUAUUGAGUAAAGCGAUUGCCAGGGGAGCGUACGUAUACACGGUGUAGAAAUAUGUGGAGCUGGGUUGGCUAUAUAUGGUAGCAAAAGAUUAGCAAUAAUCAAUUCAAAGAUGCAAUGUUGAAUAAACGCUCAACGACGGUACUGUGCUGGUCCUAGGCUAGACCGGACUAGAGACGCGAGCCUAGAACACUAAUGAGGUCACAGCGUAGCACAACUAGCAUCAAUGAAGGAUACUAAGUAGCUCUUGACAGCAAGAUAUAAGUGAAGAUCACAACGGCAGUGAAGAUAAUGAUGAAAAACAACUGCCAAGCAGGAUAUACAACAACUCUCUCCCCAACUUUCCUCUUGAAAAGUUUGAGACAAUUUUCUGAUAAAUUCUUUCAAAGAAUGCUACUAACUCAAGCUUUCCAAUGCAAAAAGAAUCACUCAAUUCCGAGUUGAUAUGAGGAGUCAAAGAAUUCUAAAACUGGCCUGAAAAAUUGGAACAAGUUGUGUUCACGAACUUUGGAGGGCAAAAACACCUAUUUAGAAGCCGAUUUUGAGGUGUCAAAUAUUGAACUAGCUUCUGCAACUAUUUAGAUGCGGCUCGUCGCUAUCUUCAAUUUGAGUACUCACGGAGCCAAAACUGACUUCGUAUGAGGAAGAUACACCUGUUUUACUGAACAGUGCGCAAAACAGAUUCCAAUCCGAAUUCAGGUACGAGAUUGAUUCUAGAUAGAUCCAAUUUUUUUUCUUCUCUUUUUUUUUCUCACGCUUUUUUUUCUUUUUCUUUUCCCUCUUUUUCUUUUUUUUUCUUUCCUUUUUUCUCUCUUUUUUUUUCUUUAUCUUCUUUUUCUCCCUCUUUCCAAGACAAACUAGAUAAGAUGCAGAUUCGAUCUGGCGAAGAUGUGAGUGACCUCAACUAUGAUUAUGACAAUAAACAGUGCGUAGCACGUGGUGGAAAUUGGUGGAUGGGAUGGUGGACAGCGGAUGAGAUAAUGAUGCAGCGGCUGCGUGACUAAUGUGAACAGAACUCGAAACUCUAAAGGAACUAGACACUAAGACCAGCAACUCGACACGAUGAUGCAACCGAUAAUUCAACUAUGCAAGCAAUGAAAAGAAAAUUGCAAAGGCUCAGACUGGCUUGGACCAAGGAUGAAUAGAUCUAACUCUUUUUUUUGUGGCUUUUUCUUGGACAAUAGGUAAGAAAAUAAAUCUAAUCUAGGAAAACUGGAAAUUCUCACCGAGCAACCUGAAAACUGAUACCACUUGAUAGAGGCGAGGGUCCCGAUCUUUCGAUGAGAUGAUAACUAUCGAUUUGGUGGAGACGACUUUGACGAUCCGACUACAAACGUGCACGACGUUGCGCCUUAGCAAUCGCUAAACCAAUCUCCUGAGGUUACUGACGAUGCUGGAAGCACGGUCAGCCUGACCACGAAGGUCUAUUCCUGCAAGCAAUCGCAGAACGAGCAAGAAUAUGAUAAAGCAAUCUGAAUAUUGCAAAUAAAUAUGAAGUAUUGAUAAUGGUGGGGAUCCAGAAGCGGUCUUGGUCUGGUCGUUGGACACAAACGAAGUACACGAAGUUGCAAUGGCUAACUUUUAACUAAACAAAUCCCAAGUAAAAGCUACUAGAUGGAUCUACUUAUAUAGGAGCAAGGGGUGGCGGCCAAGGAGGUGGGAGGACGUCCCAAGGCAGCCUAAAACUAAAUCUAGGUCGUACAAGGCCAAUGGGCCCAAGUGGAGGUGAUGUAACACCUUUGGACUUGUAGUUUGACUCGGAUUCUGCUGCAGCAUCAGAUUGUUUCGUCCACAACUCAACGCUCCGGACGAAUUUGAAGGUGAUUCCACUUGGGUUGGAAAGUGCACGAAAUCUAGUUUCCAACAAAAAAAGAAUCACCCAAUUCGGAGUCCGUAUGAAAAACUUGUGUGCGUUUUGAGUCAGGUAUGUCUGUGCAGUCCGAAUCUGAAUCCAGAACGUGGGAGACUUGGACUCUAUCUUCUCUUGGGCCAAAAGUGACGUGAGAGAACUUUUUGGAUAGCAAAUAAACAUCUCUUUCUUCCUUAUCUUCAUAUGUGGAUUGUACAAAUGUCCCAUACACCUGCAAUUAGACAAAACACAAAAGUGUGUGAAGUAUUUUUGUUCUGGAUAACAUAAAUAGAUUAUUGAAUAUUUUGCACUAGAAAUCACCUGACAAAUAUGCAUAUAUGCAAUAUUUUUGGUCAUAUCCAAGGUAGUCAUGUCCUCAUCAUGUGUAGCAAGUACGUCCUCCGUCUUCUUCACGCCAAAGUGUCCCAUUAAUCCUCCUCCAUGCGCCUCCUGCAACAACAAAAGACGAACGGAGCUAGCUGGAAUGCAUAGCUUGUUAGCACGAAACACAAAUCCAUCGUUAACGACAAACUUGUUCCACAUUCUUCCUUCUUUACAAUUCUGCAUUACAUCUUUAAAAUCAGCAUCAUGCACAUAUUGAUCUUUGAUGGUCCCCAAACCAAAUAUUUUGAAGUCAAGUUGUGAAAGCAUAGUAUAGCGACGAGACAAUGCAUCAGCAAUAACAUUUUCUUUUCCCUUCUUGUGUUUAAUGACAUAAGGGAAAGUCUCAAUAAAUUCAACCCAUUUAGCAUGUCUACGAUUCAGUUUAGCUUGACUUUUAAUAUGUUUCAAAGAUUCAUGAUCAGAAUGUAUAACAAAUUCUUUGGGCCAUAAAUAAUGUUGCCAUGUUUCUAAAGUCCGAACAAGAGCAUAUAAUUCUUUAUCAUAAGUAGAAUAAUUCAGACUAGGCCCACUCAAUUUUUCAGAAAAGUAUGCAACAGGUUUGCCAUUUCGUAAUAACAUACCUCCUAAUCCAAUUCCACUAGAAUCACAUUCAAUGAUGAGGACAUCAAUACAAUUGUUACACCCACAACCCCUGCUGCUAUACAUACUGGACCAAUUACUAGAGCUCGUGCACGCCAACUAAAUUACCAGGUACUUUUGUUUCUUGGUAAUGAUUCUAAUGUUCAUGAGAAUAUGAUGUUGCCUAAAUUGGAUACAUUUGUUUUGCUUACAAAUGAAGAGCCUAGCUUGGAGAAGGAUGAACAUUGGAGCAAGAACAAGCAUGGAGAUGAUGGCAUGCGCAAGGGGAACAAGAACGGAGUUACAAGUGAUGAUUUCAGGACUUUGAAGCCACCAUAAUGGGUGCAUGAAGCCUUGGACGAAAUAUACAAGAUGCCACUUCAUAAAUUUCGUCCCGAGGCUAUUUUAGGUGCUGCGUCACCUUAUUAUUGGGCCAGGCCCAUGUAAUUUCAAAAUACAUAUGUAUAGGCUAUUUUUAGAGUCCGUAUGUGUGGGGAAACAAGAGAUAGGAUUGAUUUCGGACCCCUCCACCAAGGGCCACGAAAUUCCCCCCUGUUCCUCCAUAUAUACAGCCCUUAGGGCAUCGUUUAGACUUUGGGUUUUGUUUAGAUUAAAAGUUCGCCAUAGCUGCAACUUCGCGUACUUCGUUUGUGUUCAACGACCAGACAAAGGCGUCACAGAACCCCACCUUGAUCAAUAAAGCUUUCAUCUUAUAUUCGCAAUAUCCAGAUUGCAAUCUUAGUUUCUUGCUUGUUCUUCGUUUGCUCGCAGGAAACAGACCCUCGUGGUCAGGUUGAUCGUGCUCCGGCGUGGUCAAUAACCUCUCGGAGUUGGUUUAGCGAUUGCUAAGGCGCGACGUCCUCGCACGUUCGUAGUCGGAUCGUCAAAGUCGACUUCCACCAAAGUGAUAUCCAUCAUCUCAUCGAAAGACGGGACACCUUUGCCUCUAUCAAGUGGUAUCAGAUUUCCAGGUUGCUCGGUGAGAUUUUACAGUUUUUCGUAGUUUAGAUCGAGUCUGUUCUUCAUACCUACAGUCCACGAAAAAGCCACAAAAAAAUUUAGGGUUAGUUCAUCAUAUCCGAACCAAUCUGAGCCUUUGCAUAAUCUUUUUAGGGUUUUGCUUUGUUGAAUUUGCGGUUGCAUCGUCGGUCUAGUUGCUGGUUUUAGAGUCUAGUCUUUUAGAGUUUCGAGUUCUGGUCAUAAGUUGUCAUGCCGCCGCCGCACCAUCAUCAUCGCCCCUGCCAUCUACCACCACCGCUCCGAAUCCGUAUCCAUAUACCACCACCAAUCCGUGUCCAUAUACCACCACCGAUCCAUAUCCAUAUACUACCACCGCUACCACCACCGCUGCCAUAUACCACCACCAUAUAUCUACCAGCAAUCCGAGUUCCUUGCUUAUUAGGUUUGUUUCCGAGAUCCAUCUAGUUUCCGAUUCGUGUUUCCUUGCCGGAGUAGGUUUCGAAAAAAAAACGCAUUUUUCCUUGCCGGAGUCGGGUAGCCACGCUCCGUUUAGGCCCAAAAUUUUUCGAAAACGCAUUUUUUGAAAAAAUUUCUGGCUAUCCUAUUUUUAGGUGUUUCUGAGUGUUUUGAGACAGGUGCCAUUAUAGGAAGUUUUUUUUGACCCGUUUCUAAUUUUUGGGUCCGGGCAGUCGAAAAAAAAAAUGGUCGAAAAAAAAAUUUCGUGCCCAUCCUGUCAGUUUGACCUAGGAAGAGUUUUGAGACACUCGCCAUUAUAGUGAUUUUUUGCAAAAAAAAAAGCAGCGCAAAAAAAAAGAGCGAAUUUUUUUUUCAGAGUGUGCUUUUCCCUUGUUUACGUGCCGCGCCGUGAUUUUGUUGGUGUUCUAGGCUCGCGUCUCUAGCACAGUCUAGCCUAGGACNNNNNNNNNNUUUUUUUUUUCAGAGUGUGCUUUUCCCUUGUUUACGUGCCGCGCCGUGAUUUUGUUGGUGUUCUAGGCUCGCGUCUCUAGCACAGUCUAGCCUAGGACCAGCACAGUAUCGUCGUUGAGCGUUUAUUCAACUUUGCAUCUCUGAAUUGAUUAUUGCUGACCCUUUUUGCUACCAUACUAUAAGCCUUCCCAGCUCCACAUACAUCUACGUCGUGUGUUUGACUCUCCCUGGUAAUCGCUCUAUCCAAGCUUUGAGAGUUUUUGACUACAACGGUUGCCGAUCACCGCCUGAUGCUGGGUAAGAACUGGUAAGAAUUUGAGAUUUGCUUGACGGGUUUGUGAUACACCACCACCACUUCUUAGUAGUAUGUAGGAUCAUAUUCUUGUGUGUUUCUAUUGCUGCUAACCAUGCCAGGAUCACAAGCCGACGAGAUUGACUGGGAGCACUUAUCGAACAAGGAGCUUCAUGAUAAGUUUCAGCAAAUGAUGACUGAACAGGUACAAGAUGUGCUGAACAAUUUUGAAGAGGCCAUGGAGAAGAUCACUGGCCUUGAGAAGGCGUUCGAAACAAAGCUCGAUAACAGAUUUAAUGAACUGCUUGCGCGUCUUCCACCACCGGCUGCACCUGUCGCACCUCUGCAACAACAACAACUACGCCCCCUUCCGAAUCAGUAUGGACGAGCACAGCGUGUUCCUAUUGAGCUAGGACAAAAUUCUGGUGCCGCUGUUACUGCUGUUGGUGCUUCUUUGGCUCCUGCUACUGCUCCUGCUGGUACCCAGGAGGAUGAUGAGUAUGCGGGCGAUUAUGAGGAUGAGGUUGAUCAAAAUCAGAUCUACGAGCAGCCACCAACACCACCACCAGCAGGUCGACCUCAGGUAUAUAUUCGUAAUGGUAGGCCUGCACCACCACCUCAGGUACGAGAUGAUGUCCAUAUUCCUAAACUGAAAUUGAAUAUUCCACCAUUUGAGGGUAGAUAUGUUCCUGAUAUAUAUCUUACUUGGGAGUUAGAAACUGAACAACGAUUUACAUGUUUACAAUAUCCUGAGGAGAGACGAGUUGCUGCUGCUGUUUGUGCUUUCACUAGUUUUGCAUGUGUAUGGUGGUCUGAACAUUGCAGAUUAUAUCCUAUUCCAACUACUUGGGCUGCUUUGAAAACUGCUAUGCGUACGCGUUGGGUUCCACCAUAUUAUCAACGUGAAUUGCUUCAAAAAUUGCAGUGUUUAAGACAAGGAAAAAAUUCUGUAGAAGAAUAUUAUCAGGAAUUACAAACUGGCAUGAUUCGAUGUGGUAUUGUUGAGGAGAAUGAAGCUAUGCUUGCACGUUUUUUGGGUGGAUUAAUAGAGAGAUUCAGACCAUUCUAGACUAUAAGGAGUAUACUAAUAUCACUCGUUUAUUCCAUCUUGCUUGUAAAGCUGAACGUGAAGUGCAGGAUCGACAAGCAUUGGCGCGAACUAACUUUUCUGCAGGCCGACCUUCCUCAUGGACGCCGCGUGCAUCUUCUACUUCAACUGCACCAGCACCUCAAUCAGGUGCCUCCUACAGUCGUGAUACAAGAAAACAGGAUUUCGUGCACUUUCCAACCCAAUUGGAAUCACCUUCAAAUUCGUCCGGAGCGUUGAGUUGUGGACGAAACAAUCUGAUGCUGCAGCAGAAUCCGAGUCAAACUACAAGUCCAAAGGUGUUACAUCACCUCCACUUGGGCCCAUUGGCCUUGUACGACCUAGAUUUAGUUUUAGGCUGCCUUGGGAUGUCCUCCCACCUCCUUGGCCGCCACCCCUUGCUCCCAUAUAAGUAGAUCCAUCUAGUAGCUUUUCCUUGGGAUUUGUUUAGUUAAAAGUUAGCCAUUGCAACUUCGUGUACUUCGUUUGUGUCUAACGACCAGACCAAGACCGCUUACGGAUCCCCGCCUUUAUCAAUACUUCAUCUAUAUUCGCAAUAUUCAGAUUGCUUUAUCAUAUUCUUGCUUGUUCUUCGAUUGCUUGCAGGAAUAGACCUUCGUGGUCAGGUUGAUUGUGCUUCGGCGUGUUCAAUAACCUCUCGGAGUUGUUUUAGCGAUUGCUAAGGCGCAACAUCGUGCACGUUUGUUGUCGGAUCGUCAAAGUCAUCUUCACCAAAUCGAUAGUUAUCAUCUCAUCGAAAGAUCGGGACACCCCGCCUCUAUUAAGUGGUAUCAGUUUUCAGGUUGCUCGGUGAGAAUUUCCAGUUUUCCUAGAUUAGAUUUAUUUUCUUACCUAUUGUCCAAGAAAAAGCCACAAAAAAGAGUUAGAUCUAUUCAUCCUUGGUCCAAGCCAGUCUGAGCCUUUGCAAUUUUCUAAUCAUUGCUUGCAUAGUUGAAUUAUCGGUUGCAUCGUCGUGUUAGUUGCUGGUCUUAGUGUCUAGUUCUUUUAGAGUUUCGAGUUUUGUUCACAUUAGUCACGCCGCCGCUGCAUCAUUAUCCCUUCCGCUGUCCACCAGCCCAUCCAUUAAUUUUCACCACGUGCUACACACUGUUCAUUGUCAUAAUCAUAGUUGAGGUCAUUCACAUCUUCGCCUGAUCCAAUCUGCAUCUUAUCUAGUUUGUCUUGGAAAGAGGGAGAAAAAAAAUAGAGGAAAAAAA
rnacentral:lncRNA from 1 species